rnacentral:rRNA from 1 species
UAGUCCACGCCCUAAACGAUGUAUACUCGAUGUUUGGAUUUAUUUCUGGGCAUCCAAGGGAAACCAUUAAGUAUACCACCUGGGGAGUACGUCGGCAACGAUGAAACUCAAAGGAAUUGACGGGGGUCCGCACAAGCGAUGGAGCAUGUGGUUUAAUUCGAUGAUACGCGAGGAACCUUACCUAGGCUCGAACGCUACAAGACAGGAACUGAAAGGUUUUUUCCCUCGGGGUUUGUAGUGAGGUGCUGCAUGGUUGUCGUCAGCUCGUGCCGUGAGGUGUUGGGUUAAGUCCGGCAACGAGCGCAACCCACAUCUUUAGUUGCCAGCAGUUCGGCUGGGCACUCUAAAGAAACUGCCCGUGAUAAGCGGGAGGAAGGUGUGGAUGACGUCAAGUCAGCAUGCCCCUUAUGCUCUGGGCUACACACGUGCUACAAUGGCCGUGACAAAGAGUUGCUACUUUGUGAAAACAAGCUAAUCUCAUAAACGCGGCCUCAGUUCGGAUUGCAGGCUGAAA